AGUGCCCUCCUGGAACCAAUGGAAAGCCAGCCUUGGCGAUUGGCAUCUCAACCAGCCAGUAGGAGCGCGCAGCGGCUUCGCAGGGGGACUGUUAACGUCAAUGGGAAGGGCCCUCCCCGGGAAGUCCCAUAGGACACAAUAUUCAUCUGGUGUUGUUGCCUAGAGUUUGUCCCAGCGGAGGGUUGGCUUCGGAUCUGCAGAGGCUUUAGGGACCUGCUCCAGCCACUGAGCACACUAGCCGUCUGAGACGGCAGCUGAGUUGCGCUGUGCGACGCGACAGAGACUACAUUUCCCAGCAUUCCAGCGGCGCACUCGGGGGACCACAGAUCCCAGCGCACCACAAAGAGGCCCGGGGACUACAAAUCCCAGCAUCCCCUGCACUCGGUUCCUCUGUAACUUAGACUCCAGUGUGCCGCGCAGUGUGCGCAAAUUCACAAACCCGCCCGCUGAGUUGGUCGUUUCGGAAUCCCGAGACUUGAAACCCAACGGGAAGACCCUUCUCACCCUCAAAAGAAGAUGACAGCCCGCAGACAGUUAACUUCUGUUUACAUGGAACUCAGACAUCUGCAAAUCAUGAUUUCAAGGCCAGAGAAUGGCAGGGGAACAGAAACCCUCAAGUAAUCUCCUGGAGCAGUUUAUUUUACUAGCCAAAGGUACCAGUGGCUCAGCCCUCACUGCUCUCAUAAGCCAGGUCUUAGAGGCUCCUGGAGUGUAUGUCUUUGGAGAACUUCUGGAGCUGGCCAAUGUGCAGGAGCUUGCGGAAGGAGCUAAUGCUGCUUAUUUGCAGUUGUUGAACCUGUUUGCCUAUGGGACAUACCCAGAUUACAUAGCCAACAAGGAGAGCCUGCCAGAACUGAGCACAGCUCAGCAGAACAAGCUGAAGCAUCUUACCAUCGUGAGCUUGGCAUCAAGAAUGAAGUGUAUCCCCUACUCCGUGUUGCUGAAAGACCUGGAGAUGCGGAAUCUCCGGGAACUAGAAGACCUUAUCAUUGAGGCUGUCUACACUGACAUCAUCCAGGGCAAGCUGGACCAGCGAAACCAGCUGCUGGAAGUGGAUUUCUGCAUUGGCCGUGACAUCCGAAAGAAGGAUAUCAAUAAUAUUGUCAAGACCCUGCAUGAAUGGUGUGAUGGCUGUGAAGCAGUUCUACUGGGCAUUGAGCAGCAAGUUCUGAGAGCCAACCAGUACAAAGAGAACCACAACCGAACUCAGCAGCAGGUAGAAGCAGAGCAAAUGCAUGAUCUGGCUGCUAAGUGUUGAAGGCUGCUUGCCACCUACUUGAGGCACACAGAAGAUACUCACCAAAUAGCUACUGACUUGAAAGGAAAAGAAAUCUACAAAGAAUCAGGAUUGCUUGUUUUCAGAGGGAAAAACGUGAUGUCCCCCUCCUGAAUCUUAUAACAACAGCUUUCUUCUGGUUACCAACAUCAAGAAGACACUCAAAGCCACCGCAUCCUCCUCGGCUCAGGAGAUGGAGCAGCAGCUGGCUGAACGGGAGUGUCCCCCUCACGCUGAGCAGAGGCAGCCCACCAAGAAGAUGUCCAAAGUGAAAGGUCUGGUCUCCAGCCGCCACUAGGGCCGGCUGGGGCAGCUGGCACUCACCAGGCCUGGGUCAGGUGGGGAGGGGACACCAAGGGCCCAUUUCCUCCCCUCUCUACCUGCAGUGAGUUCCAGACCUGCCCGUCCCCUCACCAGCGCCUCCCCACCCUGUUGGUACUGUUCCAGAAAAACUGUUACUCCCCCUCACCCACUCCCUCCUUCCCCAGUUGUUCCCUUCAGACUCAGGGGCUCCACCAAUGCCAUCCCAAAACAGGGUCAGACACUGCCCAGCUUCCCUCCAGGAGGUUCUUGUCUCUGUGUAAGGGCUUGUCUCCCUCCCAGUUUUUCUUUUGCUCCACGUCAUUUUGUCAGGCUGGUUAUAAGCCGGAGGCAGCUUUAACCAGCCCCCAGGGAUGAUUGUGAAGGAGGCCCCUCCCCUUGUGAGGAGGGGACACUCCUCUCCAGCCCCUGGUACCACAGUCCUCAAGAUGGUGCAGCGAUUUCUAGCCAGGCGUCAAGAUGCGCUGCUUUCCCUCUCCUGCCUCAUCCCUUGUUGGCAGCUCCAGUUCAGGCCGUGGAGGGACGUGAUGCUGGGCUGUGUUUACUAAACCCACGGGUUUUCAGCCUCUUAAGCCCAGCUCUGAUCUCCAAUUAGUUGAGAGCGCUGGGUUGACUAACCUCUGGUAUCUGAGCACAGACAGAGGGUGCUGUGGGUCUGCUGGGUGGCAGAAAUGGUUCCUUCCGGCUUGGCGUUUUCUCUCCUGGCCACUCUUCCUGCUGCCUCUGACUACUCAGCCUUGUUUUCGGUGUGUAGGCCCCAGCUGCCCACUGGAACUGCCGGCUAAUGCUUGCUCUCCCAAGAUCUUUAACUCCUCCUGGCUGCACCUGGGUAGGGAUGGUGGCAUCGAUGCCCCUCUGUCUGCUGAAGGACCUGUUGCUGCUUCUGUCUUUUCACCCCUCCUUGGCUGAUGACCCAGAGCCCUCUGAUGAUGGCAUUCUCCUGGCAAGAGAAAAAGACUUAACUAGACUUCUGAACUUGAACAGUUUCAGGUUAUAUUUUAAUUUUUUUUUUUUUGUACAGGUUCUGAUUCUAAUACAUUUCAACAUGCUUUUGUC